GCUGGGACUCAGUGGCAGAGCGCUCGCCUAGCACGUGUGAGAUCCUGGGUUCGAUCCUCAGCACCGCA
rnacentral:tRNA from 1 species